rnacentral:rRNA from 1 species
UACGUGAGGGGCGAACGUUGUUCGGUGUCACUGGGCUUAAAGGGUGCGUAGGUGGUUGCGUAAGUAACGUGUGAAAUCCCUCGGCUUACCCGGGGAAUUGCAUGUUAUACUGCGUGGCUUGAGGACCAGAGGGGAAAGGGGAACUCCAGGUGUAGCGGUGAAAUGCGCAGAUAUCUGGGGGAAGGCCGGCGGCGAAGGCGCCUUUCUGGCUGGUUCCUGACACUGAGGCACGAAAGCGUGGGGAGCAAACGGG